rnacentral:rRNA from 1 species
UACGUAGGGUCCGAGCGUUGUCCGGAAUUAUUGGGCGUAAAGGGCUCGUAGGCGGUUUGUCGCGUCGGGAGUGAAAACACGGGGCUUAACCCCGUGCCUGCUUCCGAUACGGGCAGACUAGAGGUAUGCAGGGGAGAACGGAAUUCCUGGUGUAGCGGUGAAAUGCGCAGAUAUCAGGAGGAACACCAAUUGCGAAGGCAGCUCUCUGGGACGGUACUGACGCUGAGACGCGAAAGCGUGGGGAGCGAACAGG